rnacentral:rRNA from 1 species
AGUGAACGCUGGCGGUAGGCCUAACACAUGCAAGUCGAACGGCAGCACAGUAAGAGCUUGCUCUUACGGGUGGCGAGUGGCGGACGGGUGAGGAAUACAUCGGAAUCUACUUUUUCGUGGGGGAUAACGUAGGGAAACUUACGCUAAUACCGCAUACGACCUACGGGUGAAAGCAGGGGAUCUUCGGACCUUGCGCGAUUGAAUGAGCCGAUGUCGGAUUAGCUAGUUGGCGGGGUAAAGGCCCGCCAAGGCGACGAUCCGUAGCUGGUCUGAGAGGAUGAUCAGCCACACUGGAGCUGAGACACGGUCCAGACUCCUACGGGAGGCAGCAGUGGGGAAUAUUGGACAAUGGGCGCAAGCCUGAUCCAGCCAUACCGCGUGGGUGAAGAAGGCCUUCGGGUUGUAAAGCCCUUUUGUUGGGAAAGAAAAGCAGCAGGUUAAUACCCCGCUGUUCUGACGGUACCCAAAGAAUAAGCACCGGCUAACUUCGU